UCCAGCGUAAUCUUCCCGUUUUUUCAUAAGUUUUUCCGGCUGAGCUUCUUAUAAAACUUAAAUUUAAACCUUUGGCAUGCAUUCCUAACAUUAUUCCCCAAAGAAACAUGAAUAACAGGCUGCAAUUCCAGCUCCCCUCUCUCGGCCAUCACAAAGUUUUCUUGCAGCUCUUAAUCAGAAUUUUUUCCUCAGCCAAAACUCAUUUUUCCUAGCUAAAACUUAACAUGCAACAGUCAUGAUUAAAAGUAAUGGAAGAUUGAAGGGUGUUGCUGCAAAUUUUACCUCCCUUUGCUCCCAAAAUCUGAAAUUGCAGACUGCGCCUUGGUUUUUGCUUUGGUUCCUCAAGAUAAAUGCACCAGUCUCUCUCCUUCUCCUCCCUUGCAUCCCUCUCUCUCGUUUGAGGCUGGUAGGUGAUGAAACGCACAAGAUUUCUCUCCCUAUCUCGCACUUUUGCUCACGGUUUUGUGGUUGGAGGAGGAAGAAAGCUUCACACUCUGUUUCUCUCUUUUGCUCCUCACGGUUUCUGCUAUCAAAUGAAACAGCCGACUCCUAUUUGUUUC
rnacentral:lncRNA from 1 species